rnacentral:rRNA from 1 species
GAUGAACGCUAGCGACAGGCUUAACACAUGCAAGUCGAGGGGCAGCAUGAGGUAGCAAUACCUUGAUGGCGACCGGCGCACGGGUGAGUAACGCGUAUGCAACCUGCCCGAUACCGGGGUAUAGCCCAUGGAAACGUGGAUUAACACCCCAUAGUACUUUUAUCCUGCAUGGGAUGUGAGUUAAAUGUUCAAGGUAUCGGAUGGGCAUGCGUCCUAUUAGUUAGUUGGCGGGGUAACAGCCCACCAAGACGAUGAUAGGUAGGGGUUCUGAGAGGAAGGUCCCCCACAUUGGAACUGAGACACGGUCCAAACUCCUACGGGAGGCAGCAGUGAGGAAUAUUGGUCAAUGGACGUAAGUCUGAACCAGCCGAGUCGCGUGAGGGAAGACUGCCCUAUGGGUUGUAAACCUCUUUUAUAAGGGAAGAAUAAGUUCUACGUGUAGAAUGAUGCCUGUACCUUAUGAAUAAGCAUCGGCUAACUCCGUGCCAGCAGCCGCCGAAA